rnacentral:snRNA from 1 species
GGAUGUAAGGGCGAUCUGGCUGCGACAUCUGUCACCCCAUUGAUCGCCAGGGUUGAUUCGGCUGAUCUGGCUGGCUAGUCGGGUGUCCCCUUCCUCCCUCACUGCUCCAUGUGCAUCCCUCCCGAAGUUGCGAGCUUGGUCGAAGAGGACGGCCUUCCCCGAAUAGAGACAGGCUGGUCUUCUGUCAGUUGAGAGUGUACGAGUAGCUGCGCUCCCCUGCUAGAACCUCCAAACAUGCUCAAUUGCUUUCCUGGUUUUUCCUGCUUUUUCUUUUUUAAAUUACUUUAUUAACAUAGAGUUAUAUUGUUUUCUUU